GAGGGUAUAGCUCAGCAGUAGAGUGCAUGCCUAGCAUGCAUGAGGUCCUGGGUUCAAUCCCCAGUUCCUCCA
rnacentral:tRNA from 1 species